rnacentral:rRNA from 1 species
GUCUAGUGGCGCACGGGUGCGUAACGCGUGGGAAUCUGCCCAAAGGUUCGGAAUAACUCAGAGAAAUUUGAGCUAAUACCGGAUAAUGUCUUCGGACCAAAGAUUUAUUGCCUUUGGAUGAGCCCGCGUAAGAUUAGCUAGUUGGUAGGGUAAAGGCCUACCAAGGCGACGAUCUUUAGCUGGUCUGAGAGGAUGAUCAGCCACACUGGGACUGAGACACGGCCCAGACUCCUACGGGAGGCAGCAGUGGGGAAUAUUGGACAAUGGGCGAAAGCCUGAUCCAGCAAUGCCGCGUGAGUGAUGAAGGCCUUAGGGCUGUAAAGCUCUUUUACCCGGGAUGAUAAUGACACACCGGGAGAAUAAGCUCCGGCUAACUCCGUGCCCGCAGCCCCGGCCAUACUUAUGGAGCU